CCAGACUCCUACGGGAGGCAGCAGUGGGGGAUAUUGCACAAUGGGGGAAACCCUGAUGCAGCGACGCCGCGUGUGGGAAGACGGUCUUCUGGAUUGUAAACCACUGUCCCCAGGGACGAAAAUGACGGUACCUGGGGAGGAAGCUCCGGCUAACUACGUGCCAGCAGCCGCGGUAAUACGUAGGGGGCAAGCGUUAUCCGGAUUUACUGGGUGUAAAGGGAGCGUAGACGGCAGCACAAGUCUGGAGUGAAAUCCCGGGGCUUAACCCCGGAACUGCUUUGGAAACUGUGCGGCUGGAGUGCAGGAGGGGUAAGCGGAAUUCCUAGUGUAGCGGUGAAAUGCGUAGAUAUUAGGAGGAACACCGGUGGCGAAGGCGGCGUACUGGACUGUAACUGACGUUGAGGCUCGAAAGCGUGGGGAGCAAACAGGAUUAGAUACCCUCGUACGA
rnacentral:rRNA from 1 species